CUUGUUUUGCACAACAGACGACGGCCUCCCGUCUGCAGCUAAACACCCCAUUAGCUUUUAGCUUUAGCCCGGUCGGACUGAGCAGCAAAGGGCUGCUUAAAUGCCGCAAACUCCUCUGCUCCGCUACUUUGACCGCUAGCGCUGACCAUAACUACCGCUUGACAGACCCACCGCGCACCAUACGCAUACUUUUUUUCUUUUUCGAAUCUUCGGAUCACGUGCGCACCGAACCGUGGAGAGGGAUCGGUUCGGAUUUCGGAUCAACCGUGAUCCGUUGCACCCCUAUAAUCACUGAAGCAGUAGACGUAGUGCAUAAGAGAUUACAGGAUGACCCCGACCUCAGCAACAGGACCACUCUCAGCACCGAUCAAGUUCCAUCCAUUUCACAUAAAAGGGUCAGUACUAUAGACAGAAACGCGGGCGUGCCAUGGGUCCCAGAGUUUCACCUAUUGUGGUCAACUUGUACAUGGAAGAAGUAGAAAAGAGGACCAUGUUAUCCUACCCAGGGACACAACCAAGUCAUUGAUUUAGCGAAUAGGUUCAAGCUACAAACCUAUCAUUAAUUGGUCCUUCGACGCCGGAUCCCUGGAGUUGACAUUCACCGAGGGGAGAAGAGACACGCUGAAAGACUGACGUCAGCCAGGAAGUUCCUGUGGAUUAGCUGUCUGUCUUUCCUCUUCGAUGAAUGACGAUCGGCGGGAUUCGAGGCUGAUAUUACACACUAAGCAACACCGAGUAAGUUCAAAGAGCCCGACUCUAUAACCGUGUGAGUGUGUAGUUCCUUAGCCGCUUUGUGGGGCUAAGAACGGUGUUUGUCGCUGCUUUGUGGAGCGAUAAGUGAGUCCUCUGACGCUUUUUGGGAGUUGAGUGAGUUCUCCGCCGCUUUGUGGGGCGUUGAGAAGUUCCGCGGAGUCCAGACUGUGCUGGACAAUAGGCCUAUUUUGUGUUGUUGUUGUGUUGAAUGUGUUUGUGUGAGUGAGUGCGGAGUAGAACACGUGGUCUGUGACGCUGACUGUUGUUGUUAUCAUGGGUUCCUAAGCAACCAAGAGUGUGUCAGAGGGUGACAGACUGGACUUCGCUGCUGGAAAACAGCAGCCUUGAAGAGCGUGUGGAGAAGGCCAGCCCACAUCAGCAGCAGUUAAGCUAUGCUCUGGUGAAUGGCUUCCCCCGCCCUUUGUUGACACAAAAUGUUUAGAUGAUUCUUUAGAUUGCCCUGAUCAACAACAGCCUAUGCUCCAGACCAUUAAUUUCACCAAUUGUUAAAAGUAAUCUGCAUUAAGCUUAGGGUUGCUCAACUUCAGUACAAUCACAUAUGAGAUGAAGUAAAAUAGGUAAAUAUUUAAAUUAAUGAAGUGCAUAGAGGCACUUGACCUGUUUGAAAGACUGUCGUUUUAUUAUGAGCCAUUGUUGAGAUAUAGAGCACACCUAUGAAUACAACUAAUAUGCUGAACCCUGUAUGAAACAGCUGAAAACUACAUGAUGGAGAAGCUGAAUUGAAUAUGAAAGUGCAAGUCUUUGCCACUGUGGGCAAAGCACGCAACCACUGUGUGAGGUUGCGUUGCGGUCUCUUCUGAGCUGAUG